AAGACCAUGCAUUCACAAGUAAAUUGCACCAAAAUAAGAUAUCCCCAAGUACCAUCACUAGGGAAAAGAUGUUGAAGUUAUGGAAAGGACAAGCCCUCAUCCUAGCAAACAACAAAUUAAUGCAAAACAUUGUCAACAACCCUAUUUGGCAACAACUUCCCUUUUGGAAGAAGUUGAAGGAUCUACGAAAAUACUGGCUGAUGGAUCACCAUUGGAAGUAGAUCCUCUUCUUCGGAUGCCUCAAAGUCAGAAAUUUUGCUCAGUAAGUCUUUAAGAGCAGCGAAAUCGGCAUCCCAUAUUUUUUUCAGAAUCUGGUAGGUGUCUCAACCUCCAAAAUGAUCUUACUGCGCGUAGCCAAAUAUAUACCCAAAGUUGUACCCCUCUGCAUAUUUUUCUUCGGACGCCUUCUUGUGAGAUGCACGCACGCCCAUUAUUUCUGACUCAUGCUCAUCCUUGAGUUGUUUAAGAUUUGCAAAGCGAACUUUGUCUUUCUAUUCGAUCUAACGGCGAAGUCUUUCCACCUCUAACGGCGAACAUUGUGAGAUGCACGCACGCCCAUUGUAAGCAUUCCGCUUCGAAGACAACGUUCGAUUGAUUAAGCUUCAAGACGCAACAAAGUUUGUUCCACCUCAACUUUGGCUUUGCAUUCUAGCUCCAACUUUUCCUGCAGUUCAGCAAGAGUUGCCUUGUAUUCAUUUGCUUUAAUAUAUUCAAGAGUGGCUUCAUUUAUGCAUUUCUUUACCUCUACAUUAUGGGCUACUCUCAUAAUUUGUUGCUCUACCUAUACCCUCUUGAGCUUCGCCAAUUGAGCUUGCACUUGUUGCUUGAGCUGUAUUUGGCCUCUGAUUCAUGCAAGGAAAACCGCUUAAGAUGACAAAUUCACUUCGCUUGGCCAAAAAGAGUCGCCUCUGUCCAGACAUGAGUCUGACCAAUGCAAGUAAAGGAAAGGAAAAACAAAAUUACCAAAGUUAUUUUGUAAGAAAAGAAUGAAGGAUUACCUCAUAUCGACUUUCGUGACAUCGCAUCAUGGCGUCUUCAAAGGACGUGCGAGCUUCCUAG
rnacentral:lncRNA from 1 species